rnacentral:lncRNA from 1 species
CCGGCUCAAGGUAGAGAAUAGUAAACAGGAGCGUAAUGAAACAUGAAGCAUGAUGGAUGGCAUAACAUAAAAGGAAUAAGACAUAAUAAAAUAGAAAUCAGAGCAAUACGAAAAUAAGGUAGAUAAGCGCAAUGUGAGAUAAGAGGUAAGCCAUAGGACAUUUGGAAUACAACCCCCACGUAGCAGUAACAUACACACACAGACCAGAGACACCCGCCACACCCAGACCCUCCUGACUAGGGGCUCCUACCUAUGGACACAGUCCUAGGAUUACUAACCCGGCUAUACAUGAGCUCUUCUAACUACUUGCUACAACCUACGCAUACAACCUAGCCUUAUACCGUUAUCCGCGACCUCCACACCUUCCUAUCUAGGGUCAUGUCCUUAGUCAGCUGAAGCUACUCCAUGUCAUGUCUAAUCACUUCCCUCCAGUACUUCUUCGGCCUACCUCUCCUCCUCUUGAAGCCAUCCAACGCAAGCCUCUUACACCUACGAACUGGAACAUCCGUGCCCCUCCUCAUCACAUGUCCAAACCAUCUCAACAUUCCUUCCCGCAUUUUGUCCUCCACCGAAGCCACCCCUACCUUCUCCCGGACAGUCUCAUUCCUAACUCUAUCCCCUUUAGUAAGUCCACACAUCCAGCACAACAUUCUCAUUUCCGCCUCAAUUUUGGGUACGAUUAUUUUUAUCUCGAUAGUUUUUUUAAAAAAAUUUGAUGGGAGAGAAAACAAAACUUACUAAUCUUUUAAUUUUAUAUUAAACAAAUACUGAUUAAUUAAUUAAGAACAAAAGAGAAGUCAAAGAUUAAUAAAUUAAAUUAUUCAAAAAUAAAUGAAUUAAUACAAGUCAAAAAACUAAAUAACUAAAAAAAUGAAAAAAAAUAAUUGAAUUUAUGCAGCAAACUUAACAAGUUGGCAGUAAAAAUAAAUGAAAAGAGCAUAAUUAAAGAAAAAGUUAAGUGCCAGCGAGAUUUGAACCCGCGCCACUUGGGUGGAUUAAUAACAUUUUGCCACUGGCACCAAGUACCUCUUGGGUACUACAGGUGGCAUGUGUUUUAUUUAUAUAAAGUCUGUAUAAUUAUACUUAUAUAGAGUUUCCGUUGAAGUUUGCGGGUGGCGUGGCACCCUCAUGAGCCUUAAUAGAUCCACCCCUGUGGUUGUGGUAGGAAAAGUGAUUGUAAGAAUAAAGGUUUGAGUUUUUUUAAAAAAACAAAAUUUUUAUAAAAAAAUUUUUGGGGUAGGUGUUUGGUAGGGAUGAGACAAGAUUUUUUUUUUUUUGCGGGGGGGGGUGAGUAUAUAGGGUAAAGGGUAAAUAUGAUUAUGUAAUAUUAAAUAAGGGCAUAAUUGAAAUAAGGAAACAAUGUGAUACCACCAAAACGGAGGUUACAUAAAGUGACGGUUUUCAUUGUUACUAAACCAUGAAAUCAAACUAUAACACAGCAUACAUUUUAAGAAACAAUCAAAACAAACAUGAUUCUCUUAGUAGCCAUAUCAUGCCAUGGGAAAUCACCAUCCAAACAAAGUGUUAAGAGUUUUUGAGAAUGUAGAGAAUAGUAUGCAACAAGUAAAGUUAAUUGGAUUUUAACUUUGUUUUGGUGUGACAAGAUAUACUCUAAUGACAUUGUCUCUAUCAUUGAUGUCUUAGAAUCAUUAUAGGGAUAGGAGAUAUUAAUAUAUAUAUAUAUAUAUAAACAAACUCAGUGUAUUCCCACAUAGUGGGUCUAGAGGGUAAGAUGUACUCAGUCCGUACCACUACCUCCGGAGAAGUAGCAAAGUUGUUUCCAACAGACCCCCGGCUCAAGACAAAGAAUAGUAAACAAAUUCAUAAUAAAGCAUGAAACAAGAUGACAUAACAGGAACAAAGAAUAGUAACAAAUUCGUUAUAAAGCAUGAAACAAGGUGGCAUAACAGAAAUAAGAAACCCACAAAGUAAUAUAUCUAUUAAAAUUUAAAUAAUUAAUUAAUCGAAUCUUAGAAAAACAUUAGUUUGAUAAAAUGAAUCUCUAUUUGAUAAGAAAAGUGAAACAUUUAUAUUUGCUAGUGAUGAUGGAGAUGGUUAGUAAUGCUUGGUGUUCUAAUGACUGUCAUGAUGGUGUAUAUUGGUAGUGGUAGUUGCGGUGGUGGUGGUUGUGAUUGUGAUGUGAGGUUGGUUAAUGUUAGUAGUUGGAGGUAUUGAUCGUAGUGGUUGAAGAAUGUGUGCACAGUAGUUGACAAUGUGUUGGUGGUAAUUUGAGACGGUAUUAGUAGUGAUGGUGGAGAUGAUCGUCAGUAGGGAUAGACUGUAGCAAUAGUGGUUAGUGGUGGUGGUGGCCGAAGAAUGUGUGGAGAUUGGCAAUGUGUUAGUGGUAUGACGAUGGUGAUAGCGGAGUUGGUUGGUAGUAGGGAUUGACUAGUAGUGGUUGAUAGUGCUUCGGUGGAUAUAAUUACAAUAAUAUAGGUGGUAAGUGUGGUAGCGACUGGCAGUAGUGGUGAGUAGUGAUGUUGAUUGUCAAUGGUGGUUGUGAUGGGUGUUGAUGAUUUGUGAUUCUGGAUAGAAUGGUGACGAAUAUUAUCCCACACAAGAAUUCUUAAUGAUACUAAGACUUGGUUCCAAAUCUUAAUGAUUAAGACCUAUAAAAAACUUCAAUCUUAAUAAGAACAAAUGCAUUUAAUGGCCUAAGGUCUGAACCAUUCAGAUUCAUACCUCCUCCAUCAAGUGCAAAACAUGUGAACCAAAUAAAGAACGACAAACAGUAACAAUAAGAAAUUGCUGAUACCUGGGACAACAAGAGUGUUUUUUCAGAAUAUUCACUAAAGACAGCUUACAGUAAUGCAAAAUCCCAUAUGCUAGUUUCAAGUAAGAUUAUACAUCUAACCCCCCUCCCCUUCCACCCCCAAAAAAAAAAGCAAGAAAACGAAAUAACCAUUUGGAAAGUCGGAUUCUUCAAGAAGCAACUUCACUUGGAUGCAGAAGAUUUUCUUUUAAGCCAACUAUUGUAUGAUGAUCAAGUAAGUAAUAUAUCUGUUUUUUUUUCCUUUUCAG